UCAAGCUACAAAGAGCUCACGGCGGAUACCUUGGCACACAGAGGCGAUGAAGGACGUGGUUACCUGCGAUAAGUCUCGGGGAGCUGGAAGCACGCUUUGAUCCGGGAAUUUCCGAAUGGGGCAACCCCUAGAACGGCCAGCUGAAUCCAUAGGCUGGCGCGAGCCAACCCAGCGAACUGAAACAUCUUAGUAGCUGGAGGAAAGGAAAGUAAAAACGACUCCCUAAGUAGCGGCGAGCGAACGGGGAAGAGCCUAAACCGACAGUUUCGACUGUCGGGGUUGUGGGACAGCAAUGUGGAUCAGGAAUGUUAGUGGAAGUGUUUGAAAGACACGCCACAGAAGGUGAAAGCCCCGUACACGAAAACUGAACUGACCUAGCUGUAUCCCGAGUAGCACGGAGCACGUGAAAUUCCGUGUGAAUCCGCGAGGACCACCUCGUAAGGCUAAGUACUACUGUGUGACCGAUAGCGAAACAGUACCGCGAGGGAAAGGUGAAAAGAACCCCGGGAGGGGAGUGAAAUAGAACAUGAAACCGUGAGCUUACAAGCAAUGGGAGCCCUACUCAUAGGGUGACCGUGUGCCUGUUGAAGAAUGAGCCGGCGACUUAUAGGCACUGGCGGGUUAAACCGGAAAUGGUGGAGCCAUAGCGAAAGCGAGUCUGAAUAGGGCGUUUGUCAGUGUUUAUAGACCCGAACCCGGGUGAUCUAACCAUGGCCAGGAUGAAGCUUGGGUGAUACCAAGUGGAGGUCCGAACCGACUGAUGUUGAAAAAUCAGCGGAUGAGCUGUGGUUAGGGGUGAAAUGCCAAUCGAACCCGGAGCUAGCUGGUUCUCCCCGAAAUACGUUGAGGCGUAGCGUCUGAUGCUCCAGCAGGGGGGUAAAGCCACCAUUUCGGUGCGGGCUGCGAGAGCGGUACCAAAUCGAGAUGAACUCUGAAUACCCUGUGUGUAGCGAGGCAGUCAGACUGUGGGGGAUAAGCUCCAUGGUCGAGAGGGAAACAGCCCAGACCGCCAGCUAAGGUCCCCAAAUCAACACUAAGUGAUAAAGGAGGUGGGAUUGCCCAGACAACCAGGAGGUUUGCCUAGAAGCAGCCAUCCUCAAAGGAGUGCGUAAUAGCUCACUGGUCGAGCGAUCCUGCGCCGAAAAUGAACGGGGCUAAGUGUUGUACCGAAGCUGCGGAUUUAUGGUAGGGGAGCGUUCUAUGUGGGGCGAAGCGUUAGCGUGAGCGGGCGUGGACUGCAUAGAAGUGAGAAUGUCGGCUUGAGUAGCGAAAACAUGGGUGAGAAUCCCAUGCACCGAAACCCUAAGGGUUCCUCCGGCAGGCUCGUCCGCGGAGGGUUAGUCUGGACCUAAGGCGAGGCCGAAAGGCGUAGUCGAUGGAUAACAGGUCAACAUUCCUGUACCGGUUAUGUUUUGGGAAGAGGGACGGAGAAGGCUAGCCAAGCCAGAUGUUGGUUACUGGUUCAAGCGUUCGAGGCGUUGAGGAGCGGAGAAAACGUUCCGAGCUGAGGCGUGAGUACGAGCUGCUACGGCAGCGAAGUUGGUGAUGUCAUGCUUCCAAGAAAAGCUCUAUACCCGUUAAGGCAUAACUGCCAGUACCCGAAACCGACACAGGUGGGGUGGUAGAGAAUACCGAGGUGCGCGAGGUAACUCUCUCUAAGGAACUCGGCAAAAUGGCCCCGUAACUUCGGGAGAAGGGGUGCCACCGCAAGGUGGUCGCAGUGAAGAGGCCCUGGCGACUGUUUACCAAAAACACAGGUCUCCGCUAAGUCGCAAGACGAUGUAUGGGGGCUGACGCCUGCCCAGUGCCGGAAGGUUAAGGAAGCCGGUCAGCGUAAGCGAAGCUGGCGACUGAAGCCCCGGUGAACGGCGGCCGUAACUAUAACGGUCCUAAGGUAGCGAAAUUCCUUGUCGGGUAAG
rnacentral:rRNA from 1 species